AUGCAACUGAAGGAGGAGAAGGUGGCUUUGACAGACAAAGUGGAUAUUCUCACUGAGAAGAUGGACGAGCUCGAAACUUAUCUGGGUGGUCUCGCCAAGAAGAUGUUCCUCAUGCUUGAUGAGUUUUGUCAGAAUUUCGAGGAGGAAAUUGGGUGGAUCAAGACAGGACUGGACCCCAUCAAUUGCCCCAUCAAGGAUGAAGCUGCCAUGAACAUGUUGCGACUGGAAUCUCGUCUUGCCAGUGUCUUGGACUACGUCGUCCGACUGAGAGUUGCAAUGUCUCGGAUCGAUGAGGAGCUCUGA
rnacentral:rRNA from 1 species